UAGGGAAUCUUCGGCAAUGGACGGAAGUCUGACCGAGCAACGCCGCGUGAGUGAAGAAGGUUUUCGGAUCGUAAAGCUCUGUUGUAAGAGAGGAACGAGUGUGAGAGUGGAAAGUUCACACUGUGACGGUAUCUUACCAGAAAGGGACGGCUAACUACGUGCCAGCAGCCGCGGUAAUACGUAGGUCCCGAGCGUUGUCCGGAUUUAUUGGGCGUAAAGCGAGCGCAGGCGGUUAGAUAAGUCUGAAGUGAAAGGCAGUGGCUCAACCAUUGUAGGCUUUGGAAACUGUUUAACUUGAGUGCAGAAGGGGAGAGUGGAAUUCCAUGUGUAGCGGUGAAAUGCGUAGAUAUAUGGAGGAACACCGGUGGCGAAAGCGGCUCUCUGGUCUGUAACUGACGCUGAGGCUCGAAAGCGUGGGGAGCGAACAGGAUUAGAUACCCUGGUAGUCCACGCCGUAAACGAUGAGUGCUAGGUGUUAGGUCCUUUCCGGGACUUAGUGCCGCAGCUAACGCAUUAAGCACUCCGCCUGGGGAGUACGACCGCAAGGUU
rnacentral:rRNA from 1 species